GCACCUCACCUGCUAGUAUGAAUACCUUGACACAUCGUUUGCCUUCUGUGAUUUAUCGUUUUGCCUCACCUGCUAGUAAAUCCCUUGCACCGUUUCCUCUGUUUACUAUUUCUUUCAGGUAUUGUUUUUGUCGCUAGCGAAUAUGAGAUAUAAAAUCCCGAAAAUCCCUCAAGCCGCUCAAGCCAAACUCCAACAUCAGGUAUUGUUUUGGUUCCUGCUUUCUUUUUUUGAUAUGUCGUCUUCUACAGUGAAAACGGGCAUUAAAAUGAGAUCUACUUAUACUAUAUUAUGUACUGCUGCCGUCACGGUACCUGCACUGCCCUGACUCUAAAGAAAUGAAUUGUAAUACAGAGUUACUCAAACCGUCAAGCGGUUUCAAUUUUUGGGUAUUAGUGUAUUCGAUUACAUACACAGCCUCCCUCCCCCAGAUUCGAUUGAUUUAUCGCUCGAACGGUGUGUCGAAGAUGCCAGGAGGACUUGUUGGACCUUUAUUAUAUUGUACGUGCUUUCUCACUACUUGCCACUGCCAGCCCAGAACCGACUAUGAACAAGAAAAUAAAUAUAAAAACAGAUGUUAGAAUAAUAAUGGUAACUAGUCUUUGUAGUAAUAGUAAUUCGAAGUACUAAUGUAUAAUUAUAUAAUCUAAUGUCGGUUGUGGAUGUUCGUGUGUUCAAUCCGUUAUUUUGGGGGUGCAAGUGAACAGCCACAAACAAUUCUGAGGGGUUCAACAUAUCGGUGAUAAACGUAGAAAGACCGAAUGAGGUUUAGUGUAACCACAAUUGUUGGGUGCUUUGCCAUAAAUGACUCAACCACCCAUGUAUCCUUCUCAGUAAAAUUUUGGCUUGGUUUAUUUUCUUUUCUCUAUUAGUAUUAUUAGUUUAAUAGAUUUAGUAUUUGCAGUAAUACAAGAAAAGGCUUACAUUCAACAUCAUUAACACCUCAAUGAUGCUAUUGUAAGGCGUGAGAAAGUGUUCACACCGCAUAGAGGUCCGGGGUGCUGAUUUGGUGGGAGUUUUGGUUUUUCGCUGGAGCUGAGCAGCUUUUACCGUUUUCGAUGGCAGUGCACCGGUGUAGUAGAGUGCACUGGUUUUACACUUUCUAACAGAAGUGUCAAUGGAACACGUCCAGUUUUUUGCACUUUUGUUUGAAAGUGCAAACCUAGUGCACUGCUUAUAAUUGCAAAUCCCAAGUAGAUAGGGAAUCCCAUAGAACAUGGGACUGAUUUGCGAUUAAGGGCAGUGCACUCCACUACACGGGUGCAUAUCAGAUGGAUCUUUACUACAUGGGUGCGAGAUGGAUCUUUACUAUGUGUAAUGGAGCUGCUGAGUGGUUAGUUUUGGAAGGUUUAUUGAAGAUGUUCAGUGAGCUGGAAAUGUGGUGUGUUUUAGAAAAGAUGGGUUUAUUAGCAUAACGAUUUUAUACUGAAGUAUUUCUCGUUCGGUUUUGGGUUUGUAUUGAGCGGAUUUGUUUCAAGUUACCCAAAUAUCUAAUUGUUGUCAUUGAAAAAUUAUGAACGCUUCUACUUUAGAAAUGGACUUUUUUUAAAUGUCGGUAAACAGAAGAUAAGUCAAUGUGGGUUAGAAGGUGAUCACGAUGGUUUUCUUCGAUUCCUUCCUACAAAUUUGAUUUGGAAUCUUCUAUUUUUGGUAUUAGAAGUGCUCAAUCUUCUCAAUAAUACUAGAUAGAUUUUUGAUGUCAAGGGGAAUUUUCAACUUCGGAAACUCUCGGAAUCAUUCACUUAGCAAGUAAAGGAAACUGCAAAAGUUAUACAUACUAGAAAAAUUAUUUUUCAUUACCUAACUCUUGGUAAUAUCAAAUACAUAUCUGUAUUUGACAAUAUGUUUAAAUCACUUUUAAAGUAGGCAAUAUGCAAGAUAUGGUUUUGCCUUUUCGGAAUAAUGUUACAUACAAUCGUAGUAUGACUCUACUCUAAUUUGACAAGCACCUUUUUUAACUUUCUUCAAAAUACAGUCGUGAUUCGGUGAUUGGUCACCUUUUAACUGGAUUUCUUUUUAGUUGGGCGCCCGCUAGUUGGACUAUUCUCCAAAUAAAAAGAAACCGGAUUUGGAAAUUUAUAGAAAUUUAUAUUUCAAGAAAAUUUGCCGAAGAAACAGGAGAUCCAUGUCUCGUACAUUUAGAGAGUUUAAGAAAUAUUUUUGGGAGUUUCCCUGAGCGUUUUAUUUAGGUAAUUAAUAUUUGCAGUUGUAGUUUUCUGUUGGGGUGGCUUUCAAAGGAUGUCCAGAUGUUAUGAAAGAGAACGAUUUUUCUAGGAGUGCCAAACCUCUAGCUUCUUCCGUUGAGAUGAUAUGAGCCUUUUUACAAAGUAUAGACUUUUUGAAUGGAUAGUUGCGAUACUUAUAAGAAUGUGAUCGCCAUUUACUGGGAAUGUGUAUUUACUAGAAGGCAUGAUGUUCCAUGUGGCGCAAGCGGUAUGCGGAAUUUACUUUCAGCCGUUCUAAUUAAAAAUGAUGACAUUUGGAGGAAUCUUAGUUUGGAGGAGAAGGUUCUCAUGGUUUUGAGAUGAGAAUAAUUUGCUGGUUGGUGUCUUCAGGUGGGUUGUGCCUACUAGGGUACUCUAGGUAUUGUCAGAGUAUUACUGUGGUGUGGGAUUGCCUUAGUGAGACCGUGUUGUGGGGACCGGUUUAGGCCUUGCUUUUGAUUUUUUUGUUGGGAAGGAAGGGGGUGGAUGUAUUUCGUUCUGACGAAUUAUUGGAGAUAGGGCACAGCUCAGCCUCGAGCCAAUAGAGGGCUAUUUACCAAAUCUUAUUAGAGUUGGAGUCACUCAGGCUGUCUUUUGAACAGUGAGAGGAUCCUUAAAUGAGAGGAAGCGUUUCUCAAUACAUGUUAUAUUGCUGAGUUGUUUGUUUUGGUGGAGGGUUGGGUACCUGCAGGGUAUGCAUUUUGAAACGCUGUUCACUUUUUACGCUAGGCUACAGAUCUCAUGACACCUUUGCCGGAGAUUAGUGAUAUGGGGCAAUCAGUGGAACUCAUUUUCUUCUAUAACAUCUGGUAAGUAAAUAUGUAAGUAAUCCCAAAGAACAUAGGACAAAUAUGCGACAUUAUAAUGAAAAAUGCUAUAGGGGCGCGCAUAACGUAGUUGGAUUGUUUUGUACGCAGCUCACCUGGGUUCGAUUCCCAAUCCCGCACAUAGAGUUAGAGAUUUUUCCAACCCGAAAGAGAGGCGAAAGACCCUCAGGCUAAAACCUCAAUAAUAAAAAAAAAUGCUAUAAAACAAUGAAUGUAUGAGAGAAGGCUUUAUGCUCACUUAUAGAUUUAUCAAAUAGUAACAUAUUUUUGUUAAUACGGUGGAAGUUCGACUUGGACGACUCCAAGCCGCAUGAAAAGUAGUCGUUCCUCCCCCUGUGCACCAUCUUCUAUCGGCUGGACGGAAUAUUGCUAUUUAUUUGAUUAUUGACCAACUAAUGUAUUAUUCCGUACAAUAGUUAUUUCGCAACUUGUGCUAUGGAGGAAGUGGCGUGCGAAGAAAAACCAGGCUCCUACAUUCGCUAUAUAGCGUCAGCAGCAGCCAAUUAUCAGCAUAACACGUGGAGCUUGGGCGAGAGGAAGACAGAGGAAAGGCUUGAAAAAGACAAACGGUGAACCUUUCUACUUCCUAUAGUAAGUCUGCAAAACACGCUAGUGGAAGCCAUUGCAGCGGAAUCAGAAACCAGAAGUUACGUAUCGGUUUCUCUAAUGAAAUGCGGACCAAUUGUUGAAGCAUGCCAACAUUAAUGACCUAUAACAGCGUCGGGAUAAAAAGGAACAACCGCAUACCAUCUAUCUUUGGAAUUGGUUUGCGCAUUAUGGGGAACACCGGCAGUUCCAUCAAAUUCUCCUGGCGGUCAUUGGACGUUUUGCCUCUAAUGAUGGUAUAUUGACUGAGUGCUUUAAACGCAUAAUUGUUACGAUACUGAAUACAUACAAUAAUAAAUAAUUCA